rnacentral:rRNA from 1 species
UCCCCAUCAUAAAAAUCCACCGGAUAAUACAAAUAUACAUUUAAAAUUCAAAGAUCUUGGCGGUGUCUUAUACAAUCAGGGGAACCUGUCCCUUAAUUCGAUAAUCCACGAACGCUCUAACCCCUCUCGAAUUACAGCCUGUGUACUGCCGUCGUAAGUAUGCCUCUAAAAGUCAGCAUACAAUAAUAAUUUAUCUACGUCAGGUCAAAGUGCAGCCAAUGAGGGGCUGGUGAUGGGUUACACACCUAAUUAAGGCUACCAUCUUCUGAUAAAAAUCAGAAUAAAAGCUGGACUUGAAAGUAAUGACACUACCAUAAUGUCAUGAAUAGGAAUCUAAGACAUGCACACAUCGCCCGUCACUCUCGUCGAAAGAUG